UUAAACGUAACCUAUAAUUAAGGUUAAUCACUGUUAAUGAUUUAAAGAUAAAUUAUCCGUUUAAG
rnacentral:tRNA from 1 species